CACGCCGUAAACGUUGGAUACUAGGUGUGGGGUUCGAUCAACGGACUCCGUGCCGAAGUUAACGCAUUAAGUAUCCCGCCUGGGGAGUACGGCCGCAAGGCUAAAACUCAAAGGAAUUGACGGGGGCCCGCACAAGCGGUGGAGUAUGUGGUUUAAUUCGAUGCAACGCGAAGAACCUUACCAAGGUUUGACAUUUAGGGUAAUCAGAUGAAAGUCUGUGAUCCUUCGGGAUCCUAAACAGGUGG
rnacentral:rRNA from 1 species